GCCACGGUGGUCUAGCGGUUAGAACGCUGGCCUUGUAAUCCUGGGGGCCUCGGGUUCGAUUCCCGGCGGUGCCC
rfam:Zootermopsis nevadensis contig14428, whole genome shotgun sequence.